AGCAGUAGCCGCGGGAAUACAGAGGGUGCGAGCGUUAAUCGGAUUUACUGGGCGUAAAGCGUGCGUAGGCGGCUUCUUAAGUCGGAUGUGAAAUCCCUGAGCUUAACUUAGGAAUUGCAUUCGAUACUGGGAAGCUAGAGUAUGGGAGAGGAUGGUAGAAUUCCAGGUGUAGCGGUGAAAUGCGUAGAGAUCUGGAGGAAUACCGAUGGCGAAGGCAGCCAUCUGGCCUAACACUGACGCUGAGGUACGAAAGCAUGGGGAGCAAACAGGAUUAGAUACCCCUGUAGUCCCUGUCUCUUAUAC
rnacentral:rRNA from 1 species